GACGAACGCUGGCGGCGUGCUUAACACAUGCAAGUCGAACGGAAAGGCCUGCUUUCCCUUGUGGAUUGCGGGUGCUCGAGUGGCGAACGGGUGAGUAACACGUGAGUGAUCUGCCCCCAACUUGGGUAUAAGCCUGGGAAACUGGGUCUAAUUCCCGAUAGGACUGCAGUGUGGUGCCUGUGGUGGAAAACGAUUUUCUAGUGGUUGGGGAUGAGCUCGCGGCCUAUCAGCUUGUUGGUGGGGUAAUGGCCUACCAAGGCGGCGACGGGUAGCCGGCCUGAGAGGGUGGACGGCCACAGUGGGACUGAGAUACGGCCCAGACUCCUACGGGAGGCAGCAGUGGGGAAUAUUGCACAAUGGGCGGAAGCCUGAUGCAGCGACGCCGCGUGGGGGAUGACGGCCUUCGGGUUGUAAACUCCUUUCGACCGCGAGGAAGCCACCUGGUUGGAAGGGUGGUGACGGUAGUGGUAGAAGAAGCACCGGCUAACUACGUG
rnacentral:rRNA from 1 species